rnacentral:rRNA from 1 species
AUUGAACGCUGGCGGCAUGCCUUACACAUGCAAGUCGAACGGCAGCACGGGAGCAAUCCUGGUGGCGAGUGGCGAACGGGUGAGUAAUAUAUCGGAACGUGCCCAGUCGUGGGGGAUAACGCAGCGAAAGCUGUGCUAAUACCGCAUACGAUCUACGGAUGAAAGCGGGGGAUCGCAAGACCUCGCGCGAUUGGAGCGGCCGAUACCAGAUUAGCUAGUUGGUGAGGUAAAGGCUCACCAAGGCGACGAUCUGUAGCUGGUCUGAGAGGACGACCAGCCACACUGGAACUGAGACACGGUCCAGACUCCUACGGGAGGCAGCAGUGGGGAAUUUUGGACAAUGGGCGAAAGCCUGAUCCAGCAAUGCCGCGUGCAGGAUGAAGGCCUUCGGGUUGUAAACUGCUUUUGUACGGAACGAAACGGUGAGCUCUAAUACAGUUUGCUAAUGACGGUACCGUAAGAAUAAGCACCGGCUAACUACGUGCCAGCAGCAGCCGCAGUAA